GCAGUCGACGCUGAAAGCCUGGUGCUUGCACCGGGUGGAUGAGUGGCGAACGGGUGAGUAACACGUGAGUAACCUGCCCCUGACUUCGGGAUAAGCCCGGGAAACUGGGUCUAAUACCGGAUACGACUGCCGGACGCAUGUCUGGUGGUGGAAAGUUUUUUCGGUUGGGGAUGGGCUCGCGGCCUAUCAGUUUGUUGGUGAGGUAAUGGCUCACCAAGACGACGACGGGUAGCCGGCCUGAGAGGGCGACCGGCCACACUGGGACUGAGACACGGCCCAGACUCCUACGGGAGGCAGCAGUGGGGAAUAUUGCACAAUGGGGGAAACCCUGAUGCAGCGACGCAGCGUGCGGGAUGACGGCCUUCGGGUUGUAAACCGCUUUCAGCAGGGAAGAAGCGCAAGUGACGGUACCUGCAGAAGAAGUACCGGCUAACUACGUGCCAGCAGCCGCGGUAAUACGUAGGGUACGAGCGUUGUCCGGAAUUAUUGGGCGUAAAGAGCUCGUAGGUGGUUGGUCACGUCUGCUGUGGAAACGCAACGCUUAACGUUGCGCGUGCAGUGGGUACGGGCUGACUAGAGUGCAGUAGGGGAGUCUGGAAUUCCUGGUGUAGCGGUGAAAUGCGCAGAUAUCAGGAGGAACACCGGUGGCGAAGGCGGGACUCUGGGCUGUAACUGACACUGAGGAGCGAAAGCAUGGGGAGCGAACAGGAUUAGAUACCCUGGUAGUCCAUGCCGUAAACGUUGGGCACUAGGUGUGGGGGGCAUUCCACGUUCUCCGCGCCGUAGCUAACGCAUUAAGUGCCCCGCCUGGGGAGUACGGUCGCAAGGCUAAAACUCAAAGGAAUUGACGGGGGCCCGCACAAGCGGCGGAGCAUGCGGAUUAAUUCGAUGCAACGCGAAGAACCUUACCAAGGCUUGACAUACACCGGGACCGUCCUGGAAACAGGUCCUCUUCUUUGAAGCUGGUGUACAGGUGGGUGCAUGGUUGUCGUCAGCUCGUGUCGUGAGAAGUUUGGGGUUAAGUCCCGCAACGAGCGCAAC
rnacentral:rRNA from 1 species